CCUACGGGAGGCAGCAGUGAGGAAUAUUGGUCAAUGGUCGGGAGACUGAACCAGCCAAGCCGCGUGAGGGAGGAAGGUACAGAGUAUCGUAAACCUCUUUUGUCAGGGAACAAAGGCGGGGACGUGUCCCCGGAUGAGUGUACCUGAAGAAAAAGCAUCGGCUAACUCCGUGCCAGCAGCCGCGGUAAUACGGAGGAUGCGAGCGUUAUCCGGAUUUAUUGGGUUUAAAGGGUGCGCAGGCGGUCUGUUAAGUCAGCGGUCAAAGCCCGGGGCUCAACCCCGGCCCGCCGUUGAAACUGGCAGUCGCGAGUUGGAGAGAAGUAUGCGGAAUGCGCGGUGUAGCGGUGAAAUGCAUAGAGAUCGCGCAGAACUCCGAUUGCGAAGGCAGCAUGCCGGCUCCACACUGACGCUGAGGCACGAAAGCGUGGGUAUCGAACAGGAGUAGAUACCCUGGUAGUC
rnacentral:rRNA from 1 species